rnacentral:rRNA from 1 species
UACGUAGGGUGCGAGCGUUAAUCGGAAUUACUGGGCGUAAAGCGUGCGCAGGCGGCCUCUUAAGUCAGAUGUGAAAUCCCCGGGCUUAACCUGGGAACUGCGUUUGAAACUGGGAGGCUAGAGUGUGGAAGAGGGGGGUGGAAUUCCAGGUGUAGCAGUGAAAUGCGUAGAGAUCUGGAGGAACACCGAUGGCGAAGGCAGCCCCCUGGGCUGACACUGACGCUCAUGCACGAAAGCGUGGGGAGCAAACAGG